rnacentral:rRNA from 1 species
UAAGAAGUCCCGCCUGCCCAGUGACUAUAUGUUCAACGGCCGCGGUAUUUUAACCGUGCAAAGGUAGCGCAAUCACUUGUCCUUUAAAUAGGGACCUGUAUGAAUGGCAUAACGAGGGCUUAACUGUCUCCUUUUUCAAGUCAAUGAAAUUGAUCCCCCCGUGCAGAAGCGGGGAUAAGCACAUAAGACGAGAAGACCCUGUGGAGCUUUAGACACUAAAGCAGAUCAAGUUAAACAACCCUAAACACAGGGCCAAACCAGACGAAUACUGCCCGAAUGUCUUUGGUUGGGGCGACCACGGGGAACACAAAACCCCCGCGUGGAUAGGGAGCACCCCUCCCCCUUAUACUCCUCCUACAAUCAAGAGUCCCCACUCUAAUGAACAGAAUUUCUGACCUACUAGAUCCGGCAACGCCGAUCAACGGACCCAGUUACCCCAGGGAUAACAGCGCAAUCCCCUUCUAGAGCCCAUAUCGACAAGGGGGUUUACGACCUCGAUGUUGGAUCAGGACAUCCUAAUGGUGCAGCCGCUAUUAAGGGUUCGUUUGUUCAACG